rnacentral:rRNA from 1 species
GAUGAACGCUGGCGGCGUGCCUAAUACAUGCAAGUCGAGCGAACAGACGAGGAGCUUGCUCCUCUGACGUUAGCGGCGGACGGGUGAGUAACACGUGGAUAACCUACCUAUAAGACUGGGAUAACUUCGGGAAGCCGGAGCUAAUACCGGAUAAUAUAUUGAACCGCAUGGUUCAAUAGUGAAAGACGGUUUUGCUGUCACUUAUAGAUGGAUCCGCGCCGCAUUAGCUAGUUGGUAAGGUAACGGCUUACCAAGGCAACGAUGCGUAGCCGACCUGAGAGGGUGAUCGGCCACACUGGAACUGAGACGCGGUCCAGACUCCUACGGGAGGCAGCAGUAGGGAAUCUUCCGCAAUGGGCGAAAGCCUGACGGAGCAACGCCGCGUGAGUGAUGAAGGUCUUCGGAUCGUAAAACUCUGUUAUUAGGGAAGAACAAAUGUGUAAGUAACUAUGCACGUCUUGACGGUACCUAAUCAGAAAGCCACGGCUAACUACGUG